UACAGAGGCCUCAAGCGUUGUUCGGAUUCAUUGGGCGUAAAGGGUGCGUAGGUGGCUUGUUAAGUUGAAGGUGAAAUCUCGGAGCUCAACUCCGAAACUGCCUUCAAUACUGGCGAGCUCGAGGAUUGUAGAGGAGAAUGGAAUUCACGGUGUAGCAGUGAAAUGCGUAGAUAUCGUGAGGAAGACCAGUGGCGAAGGCGAUUCUCUGGGCAAUUCCUGACACUGAGGCACGAAGGCUAGGGGAGCGAACGGG
rnacentral:rRNA from 1 species